CCCUGCCAUUUGUACACACCGCCCGUCGCUCCUACCGAUUGAAUGAUCCGGUGAAGUGUUCGGAUUGCGUCGACGAUGGCGGUUCGCCGCCGUCGACGUCGUGAGAAGUUCAUUGAACCUUAUCAUUUAGAGGA
rnacentral:rRNA from 1 species